ACACAAACAAACAAGGGGGAAGUGACACUGACGGUGACAACUCGAUGGUCCGCUGCUGUUGCCACUGGGAAGAUGCUUGCCGGGGACAGUAGUGAAUGACGGCUCCUCCAUCGAUCUACAGGAGUACAAAUCAAUAACCAGGUAUCACUGAAAAAGAAGAGGGACAAAGAAGUUGCUGUUUGUUUGUGUUAGAACAAGCUUGUUUAAUAUGGUGGAAAAAGAGCCAAACUAAGAAAGAGACGGAGAAAUUUGGUUUAGGUUUCACAGGGUAUAAUUGAUCUGAAUCUAAUCCAUACGCAAAUUGGUGGGGGAAAUGGGUAUAGAUUUGGGCAUAGGAGUGGUUGAUUACACCAUCACUGUUCUCCUUUGCCGGAAGAACAUAUUUGAGUCUCCAAAGGGUUGAAGUUGCAUCUCAUGAUUCCAGUAGAUGAUGAAGGUCUGCAUGUUUCCAUGGAGGAGAAACAACUGUGAAGUAUGCAUUGCAUUACAGAGAAAACCACAUCACAAGUAUGUAUUCAUCUGCAUUCAACACUGAAGAAGCCAUCAUCUCAGUAUUACCUACUGAGAAGUACCAUACGCUCAUUAUCUUCCGUCACGAAUUCACCAUUGAUGAAGGGAAUAUUUUGAAGCGACAGCAUCUGAGUGCUACAUGUCCUGAUCACAUUGUAGGCUGCGGUGAUCUAAUUUACUGAUUGCAAUGACUGUCAAAUAGGCUUGUUCUAUCCUAUUGUACAAACAGCCAAUGCAAGUAAGAUUGAUCAUGAGACAAACUAGAAUGACUUUGUCGAUAA